UAGUCAAACAGCAAUGAAUGGGGUGCCCGCGACGGCCAAACACGCGAACCGCCAAUGGUGCACGCGCCGCAACCUUUUCUCCCUCAACCUCGGGCGUUCUCGCGUAAACAGGCGCGCGCUGUUCGUGGGUAAGCACCGCGUGCAGUGGGUCGAGAUCGGGCGGCUGAACGUGUUCCAACCCAAGCGCCUUCCGAAGUUCGUAGGUGGAAGUUCGUUAGAUGGGGUAGUUAUGGGGGUGGUUUUCGUUGGCAAGCUUUAGUUUCCACACAGCGCACAGUGAGAUCAUCUUCGACUUUAAAGGCAACGUUUCUUGUUUUGCUCAACUCGUAUGCCAAAAUUCCUUCCACCGCCCAACAUGUCCGUCGUCUGGAGAGUUGUACAACUUCCCUAAAAUCCAUGACCUCGUCUCUAGGCAAAACAGCUGAAACUGCUCCCGCAUGGAGCCAGACAAAAUGAGACUAUCGUUAAAGCUCGUUCGUAAACGCGACCCUCCCGACGAGCCCCGUUAGACGGAUUGCGGCAGUUUGGCACCGGAGGCGCGCGUCAGUGCUCGAAAUCGACCGUUUAACAUCGGUCUUGUAACCGGAGUUCUCCAUACACACGCCCGAAAAAGAAAAAACAACACACUGAAACAGGGAGCACCAUGUGUUUUAAACCCUUUUCUUCGGCUAGCUCAUUUGGGUGGUGCUUUUAGCUUCUCCAAAAGUAGAAGAAACGCUACCUUCAUUGGGGUUGGGUUUUAUGCCGUGAUGCGCUGGCAGUGGUAACCUCACAUUGGGUACAUGAUUUUUGGGAUUUGUUCAAUUGAAAACUGCUCCACUUCAGGCUUGGAGCGCUCGCUUGCCAGUGCACGUGCUGAUUAAUUUUAGUGCACGUUUUCCACUCCCGCCCAUUGCUUCAGCGGCUGCUCCGUCAUUGUGUUACUGUUUAGUGUGCCCCUCAUGUGUGCCUACCAUGUACGGCGCCCCAUAAAGGUGUAUGCUGCUGCCGGUAAGGUGUAGCCGUUUUUCGUACCACCUCCUCCUCAUCCCCAUUGCAAGCACUGCUCUUUUAUGUAUGACGAAAACACUGUACAUGCGUAAAGGCGCUGUGCGAAACUGUGUAGCUUCGGUACGGCUUCAUUUCGGGGAGGGCGUUCUUCACUGGACUGGGGCAUUUCGAAGGCCGCAAGGACAUGAUAGAAAAAUUGAUAUUUCACAUUUGCACUGGUUUUGCCGUGCCGAGCAGUGCUCAACAGUGCGCACUUUGGAAAACAUGGGUGUUGAAAAAGGUUACGGAUGAGUAAGCGAGCAAAAACGUAGAGAGUGAGGUUGAGAGAGUUGGAUGAUUUGUAAGGAGCAGUGGAGCUUGGAAUUGCGUAGUUUUGCAAUUGGUAUGAGGGCGCUGAAUGUUUAUUAUUCGAUUUAUUUAAUUUUUCGGUUAAAAUUACAAGCUAAUUUGUCUUAUUUGGUUAAUCGUCACUAGUUGUAUGAAUUAAACAUAAUGAAUAAUCAUACAGUACAUCUUUGAGCUACAAUUUAUGUGACA